GACGAACGCUGGCGGCGUGCUUAACACAUGCAAGUCGAACGGAAAGGCCCUGCUUUUGUGGGGUGCUCGAGUGGCGAACGGGUGAGUAACACGUGAGUAACCUGCCCUUGACUUUGGGAUAACUUCAGGAAGCUGGGGCUAAUACCGGAUAGGAGCUCCCGCUGCAUGGUGGGGGUUGGAAAGUUUCGGCGGUUGGGGAUGGACUCGCGGCUUAUCAGCUUGUUGGUGGGGUAGUGGCUUACCAAGGCUUUGACGGGUAGCCGGCCUGAGAGGGUGACCGGCCACAUUGGGACUGAGAUACGGCCCAGACUCCUACGGGAGGCAGCAGUGGGGAAUAUUGCACAAUGGGCGGAAGCCUGAUGCAGCAACGCCGCGUGCGGGAUGACGGCCUUCGGGUUGUAAACCGCUUUCGCCUGUGACGAAGCGUGAGUGACGGUAAUGGGUAAAGAAGCACCGGCUAACUACGUG
rnacentral:rRNA from 1 species